AUCCAGCUGAUGAGUCACAAAUAGGACGAAAUGCGCGUCCUGGAU
rfam:Schistosoma rodhaini strain Burundi genome assembly, scaffold: SROB_scaffold0008183